GGGUCACAACUAGACUAGUUUUUAGGGUACUUGUUACUAAACAUCAAUGAUUGCCCUACCUCUCUCAAUGAGGUCCAUGCUCGAGAAGCAUCAUUGGUUGAAGGGUCAAUAUAUUUGACCACGAAUAAAUUAAAUCACUUGUACCCAAUUCAUUAAUCUCCCAUGGUUGAUUGCGAGGUUUGCGUGGAUGAAUGACAGAGCCAAAUUCUCUAUUCUUCCUUGUAGAGCUUGCCUCAUGUCAUAGUGCCACAUUGGUUUAUUAAUUUGAGCCAAUUCUUUUCCCAACAGUUCUAAG
rnacentral:lncRNA from 1 species